rnacentral:lncRNA from 1 species
AUGUCCUACUUCUUUUUCAUAAGUACAUGUCUGCAGUGCAUGGUGAGUGACUACAUGUAUCAUGGGAGUUGGUCCAAGGCCAGGGCUUCUCUGUUGAGUCCCUUCAUCUUCAGUCUAUGGGAUGAAACCUUGAAAGAUACACUGAAGGAUGCCUUGGUCUAGACCCUGACACCCUCGAAGAGAUGAGGCCCAAGUGACAGGAACUCUGUGAUACAUCCCAUGCCUGAGCAUCUCAACUUUGCAGGAGAUGAAGUGAGCAACUGGUGAUACGAGAAGGGAGCACCCAUGCUGCAGCUCACAGUAUUCACAUUCAUAUCUCUGGUGUGGAGGC